rnacentral:misc_RNA from 1 species
GAAAUGCGAUAAGUAAUGUGAAUUGCAGAAUUCAGUGAAUCAUCGAAUCUUUGAACGCACAUUGCGCCCGCCAGUAUUCUGGCGGGCAUGCCUGUUCGAGCGUCAUUACAACCCUCAGGCCCCCGGGCCUGGCGUUGGGGAUCGGCGGAAGCCCCCUGCGGGCACAACGCCGUCCCCCAAAUACAGUGGCGGUCCCGCCGCAGCUUCCAUUGCGUAGUAGCUAACACCUCGCAACUGGAGAGCGGCGCGGCCACGCCGUAAAACACCCAACUUCUGAAUGUUGACCUCGAAUCAGGUAGGAAUACCCGCUGAACUUAGC